rnacentral:lncRNA from 1 species
UCUGUGCUGGCCCAAAGUUGGGGGGACCCUCCUUGCUGUGUCCUGGAAAAAGGGUCCCACCACGGGGUUUUUCUCACACCUGGAGCACGAGGCAGAUGAUCCAUCAGUGUAGGCUCGCCCAUGGAUGAGGAAUCCCAUAGGAAAGAGGAGCUGCUCUCAGGUCCUGUCUCCAGGAGGAUUUAGCCAUCCAUCUGCCCAGGCUGCUGUUCAUUCCUGCCCUUGAGCAUCCCUGCUCCCCCCAGGGCGUCCUCACACCCUGCACCAGGUGGACGUCCAGCACCCAGGUGGGAGCCCACCAGAAUCACAGAAGGGUGUGGAUGGGGCUUUCCCCCCUCCUUUCCCACUGAUCACACUGGAAUAAGGUGAAGCUGGGGUUUGUCCCCACAGGGAACAGCACUGGGAUGGCUGCUUUCAUGGCUGGGGACAGUUUGGGGGCUGUUACCCCUCUCUGUGUGCUCUGGGGUGUUUUCCUUGCUGGGAGCUGCUGUGGCUGCAUGUAAAUCCUCCCUCAGCCACAACUGUGCCACAGACGUCCCAGGACAGGAAUUUUUUCUCCAGUUUUAG